rnacentral:lncRNA from 1 species
AGGCAUUUCACUAUUAUUUCCAAGCAUCUGGUUUGCAGUAAUCUAGGAUAGAUCAAAGAAGAAGCAAUAGAGGUAGUGAGGAAUGGUUGGAUAAUGGAUAUAUCUUGCAGUAGGAGUCAAAAGAAUCUGCCUGUAAGCCAUGUAAGGAGUAAGGCCCAAGCAGCUGAAGAAAUUGCCAUCAAAUGAGAUUGAAAUGACUAACUCAUAUUUUUAAAAUGAGUUCCUUGUAAUAGACAUUAUUAAUGCAACAGUUAUCAAAAUGCUUUAUGAUGUUCUGUUAACUAAUAACACUAGUGCUUCUGUAUCUAGUGAUGAUGCUUGUAAAGUCAUAGCUACAAUCAGAAAGCAAAAACACUUCCUUGCAUAUCUACCUAAGUAGUACCACUUACCACAUAUUAACAAUCUUUGGAAGUUUUCAGAUUGUCUAGUUUUAUUUUAGGGAACCAAAAGAAAUAGGUCUGGGUAGUGUUAUGGUUCCUGAAAGGAAUUUAGUUUCCAGACCACAGGAUGAUGUUGAGGAUUAGGAUUAUAUAAUUUAAGAACAUUAGGUACUUUGAUAAGAUAAAGUUUUAUUGUUUAAGAAUAACAAAUCCUAGGGCUGGGGAUGUGGCUCAGUGGUAGAGCACUUGCAUUUUCCCUAGCAUGCAUCAGUUCUGAGUUCAAUCUCUAGUAUGGCGGGGGCAGUGCGGGGGGAGGGGAUGACAAGUUCUAAUUUGAAUCUUGCUUGACCUCAGAACUUUGGUAUAAGAAAUACUCUUUUGCCCUUUUUCUUGCUGAGUUUUCAUUUUGAAUCCAUUAAGCUUCACAUUUGAUGAUAUUUGAAUGCCAGGGUUUUAAUGUCAGUAUGUUUAGUUGCAUUCUGAUUUAGCCAAAAACUGACUAGCAGAAAUGGAAUUUAUUGAAAAAAUAAUACGCCAGAGAGAAGACUAUUUUAGGGUGCUGAAAUAUUUUAUAUCUUGAUCUAGGUGAUUAUAUCUUAAUCACAGGUGACUGUGUAUCAGGUUGCAUACUUAAGAUUUGUGACCUUUAUAAGUCUCAUCAAUUUUUUUAAAGCACACUUUUUAAAAAUUGGCAAGCUGAAGACAUAGACUUGAAAGAUAGGCAGAAACUAAAAGAAGUUAAGUAGUCAAAAUGACAGCAAUCAAGGUCAUGCCUGGUUGUGGUACUGCCAUUUUUAUUACCACCACACAGCCCCCAGAUCAUCAUUGGAAUUAAUUAUAAAAUAUCCUGUUCUCAGCAUAAUCCCUGAUUCAGGAUCCCUGGCAGAAAGCUGUAGAUGGUGUACCAAUUUCUAGGCGUUAGUAAUUGGCUUUCAUUCUUUCCCUAAAAUUUAUACAGUCAGUGGUAGAUUCUGUGACUACAAGAAAGGCAUUUGCUGGGAGGCAAAAGUGUCAAAUGUCCACAAUACUUCCCUAAACUUUAUCUUUCCCUGUUGCCUAAAUUGAAGUCUUUCCCACUUACUUCCAUAUCCUACCGAUCAAACGUCUGAGUACUGUAUGUCUUGACCCUACACUUCAGUUUGCUCUAUUACUUCAAGCUGCCAUUAUGCCAAUCUCUUAUCAUCACCUUUGCAAUCAGAGAUAUCUCCUUUCUCCAUUCCCACAGUCCAUCCUAUUAAUAGAAGCUAAAGUGAUAUAAAAAAAUGGACCAUUUCAUUCCCUAGGCCUUCUACUUUGCUCUCUCUGCUCUAGCAGGAGGAUCACAAAUUCAAAGCCAGCCUCAGCAAUGGGGAGGUGCUAAGCAACUCAGUGAGAUCCUGUCUCUAAAUAAAACACAAAAUAGGGCGGGGAUGUGGCUUAGUGGUCAAGUGACCUGGGUUCAAUCCCUGAUACCACCUGCCAAAGGCUGUCUCUGAAAAGUCUAUUGGUACUGAGAUUUUUGGGAAAAGUAGAUGGAGAUUUCUGUUUCUCAUAGCAAGUACUAAUCAUAAUACUAUUUGAUUAAAUUAUAGGCAUUUAUAAACUUGGCAAAUAUUUACACUUAAACGAAAUUUUAGAAGAAAAAAAUUAUCAAUACCAUUUGUCAUUGUUUGUCAUAUCACCUUGGCUUAUUUUCAUCAAGAUGUUUACUUCUGAAGUUACCUUGUUUUUAUUUGUUUAUAUUCCCUCUUUUAGAAUGUAAACCCCAGUAUAGCAGUAGGGACUUUGUAUAUGCAGUUUAUUGCUGUAUGACUAGGGACUGUAGCACAGAAGAUCUUAAAUUAAUUAUUAAUAAAUGAAUGACUAUAAAGGGACACUUGGAGAGUACUUGUAUUUUUCUUAGGGAAGGGCUAAGGACUAUAAGAUGCAAUGUUCAUAUAAUUUUAAAAAACUCACUCCUGAAUAAUUAUUUGUGGUUAAGAAAGUAAUGUUAUCUCUUUUCUCUCCCCCCCCCAUUUCCCCCUUAAUGACUUCAUUUUUUAAUUUUUAUUUUUU